rnacentral:lncRNA from 1 species
AUGCUCAAAAUUCUCCAAGCCAGGCUUCAGCAAUACGUGAACCAGGAACUUCCUGAUGUUCAAGCUGGUUUUAGAAAAGGCAAAGGAACCAGAGAUCAAAUUACCAACAUCCACUGGAUCAUGGAAAAAGCAAGAGAGUUCCAGAAAAACACCUAUUUCUGCUUUAUUGACUAUGCCAAAGCCUUUGACUGUGUGGAUCACAAUAAACUGUGGAAAAUUCUGAAAGAGAUGGGAAUACCAGACCACCUAACCUGCCUCUUGAGGAACCUGUAUGCAGGACAGGAAGCAACAGUUAGAACUAGACAUGGAACAACAGACUGGUUCCAAAUAGGAAAAGGAGUAUGUCAAGGCUGUAUAUUGUCACUCUGCUUAUUUAACUUCUAUGCAGAGUACAUCAUGAGAAACGCUGGACUGGAAGACGCACAAGCUGGAAUGAAGAUUGCUGGGAGAAAUAUCAAUAACCUCAGGUAUGCAGAAGACGCCACCCUUAUGGCAGAAAGUGAAGAGGAACUAAAAAGCCUCUUGAUGAAAGUGAAAGAGGAGAGUGAAAAAGCUGGCUUAAAGCUCAACAUUCAGAAAAUGAAGAUCAUGGCGUCUGGUCCCAUGACUUCAUGGGAAAUAGAUGGGGAAACAGUGGAAACAGUGUCAGACUUUAUUUUUUUGGGCUCCAAAAUCACUGCAGAUGGUGAUUGUAGCCGUGAAAUUAAAAGACGCUUACUCCUUGGAAGGAAAGUUAUGACCAACCUAGAUAGCAUCUUAAAAAGCAAAGAUAUUGCUCUGCCAACAAAGGUCCAUCUAGUCAAGGCUAUGGUUUUUCCAGUAGCCAUGUAUGGAUGUGAGAGUUGGACUGUGAAGAAAGCUGAGUGCCGAAGAAUUGAUGCUUUUGAACUGUGGUGUUGGAGAAGACUCUUGAGAGUCCCUUGGACUGCAAGGAGAUCCAACCAGUCCAUCCUAAAGGAGAUCAGUCCUGGGUGUUCAUUGGAGGGACUGAUGCUGAAGCUUAAACUCCAAUACUUUGCCACCUGA